rnacentral:tRNA from 2 species
GCAGAAUUAGUUUAAUGGUAGAAUAUAACCUUGCCAAGGUUAAGACGCGAGUUCGAUUCUCGUAUUCUGCUCCA